CUACGGGGCGCAGCAGUGAGGAAUAUUGCACAAUGGGGGGAACCCUGAUGCAGCAACGCCGCGUGGAGGAUGACGCAUUUCGGUGUGUAAACUCCUUUUAUAUGUCAAGAAAAUGACGGUAGCAUAUGAAUAAGCACCGGCUAACUCCGUGCCAGCAGCCGCGGUAAUACGGAGGGUGCAAGCGUUACUCGGAAUCACUGGGCGUAAAGGACGCGUAGGCGGGUUGGAAAGUCAGGUGUGAAAUCCUACAGCUUAACUGUAGAACUGCACUUGAAACUGCUAAUCUAGAGUAUGGGAGGGGGAGAUGGAAUUAGUGGUGUAGGGGUAAUAUCCGUAGAUAUCACUAGGAAUACCUAAAGCGAAGGCGAUCUCCUGGAACAUUACUGACGCUAAGGCGUGAAAGCGUGGGGAGCAAACAGGAUUAGAUACCCCAGUAGUC
rnacentral:rRNA from 1 species